CAGCACCUCAAGUGGUCAGGAUGAUUAUUGGGCCUAAAGCAUCCGUAGCCGGCGCUGUAAGUUUUCGGUUAAAUCUGUACGCUUAACGUACAGGCUGCCGGGAAUACUGCAGAGCUAGGGAGUGGGAGAGGUAGACGGUACUCGGUAGGAAGGGGUAAAAUCCUUUGAUCUAUUGAUGACCACCUGUGGCGAAGGCGGUCUACCAGAACACGUCCGACGGUGAGGGAUGAAAGCUGGGGGAGCAAACCGGAUUAGAGACCCGAGUAGUCC
rnacentral:rRNA from 1 species